UAUUUUAAAGAGAGUUUGAUCCUGGCUCAGGACGAACGCUGGCGGCGUGCCUAAUACAUGCAAGUCGAACGAACGGAGGAAGAGCUUGCUCUUCCAAAGUUAGUGGCGGACGGGUGAGUAACACGUGGGCAACCUGCCUGUAAGUUGGGGAUAACUCCGGGAAACCGGGGCUAAUACCGAAUGAUAAAGUGUGGCGCAUGCCACGCUUU
rnacentral:rRNA from 1 species